rnacentral:rRNA from 1 species
GCGAGUCGACACAGCAAUGUGUGGCAUACGGCUCAGUAACACGUAGUCAACAUGCCCAGGGGACGUGGAUAACCUCGGGAAACUGAGGAUAAACCGCGAUAGGUCACUACUUCUGGAAUGGGUAAUGACCCAAACCUAUAUGGCCCCUGGAUUGGACUGCGGCCGAUCAGGCUGUUGGUGAGGUAAUGGCCCACCAAACCUGUAACCGGUACGGGCUCUGAGAGGAGGAGCCCGGAGAUGGGCACUGAGACAAGGGCCCAGGCCCUAUGGGGCGCAGCAGGCGCGAAACCUCUGCAAUAGGCGAAAGCUUGACAGGGUUACUCUGAGUGAUUUCCGUUAAGGAGAUCUUUUGGCACCUCUAAAAAUGGUGCAGAAUAAGGGGUGGGCAAGUCUGGUGUCAGCCGCCGCGGUAAUACCAGCACCCCGAGUGGUCGGGACGUUUAUUGGGCCUAAAGCAUCCGUAGCCGGUUCUACAAGUCUUCCGUUAAAUCCACCUGCUCAACAGAUGGGCUGCGGAAGAUACUAUGGAGCUAGGAGGCGGGAGAGGCAAGCGGUACUCGAUGGGUAGGGGUAAAAUCCGUUGAUCCAUUGAAGACCACCAGUGGCGAAGGCGGCUUGCCAGAACGCGCUCGACGGUGAGGGAUGAAAGCUGGGGGAGCAAACCGGAUUAGAUACCCGGGUAGUCCCAGCUGUAAACGAUGCAGACUCGGUGAUGAGUUGGCUUUAUGCCAACUCAGUGCCGCAGGGAAGCCGUUAAGUUUGCCGCCUGGGGAGUACAGUCGCAAGACUGAAACUUAAAGGAAUUGGCGGGGGAGCACCACAAGGGGUGAAGCCUGCGGUUCAAUUGGAUUCAACGCCGGG